GGUAUGCCCCCUCAUGGUCUCGUCCGCUGCGGGCGGGCGGGUGAGGGAGGAGAGGAGCGGCUCGGGGAAUGGCGGCUGCGCUCCUCCUCGGCAGAGCCCUCGGCUGGACGUGACCGGGAGAGCGAGCGGGAGGUGCGAGCGGGGGCAGAAGGGGAGCAGCGGCACCGGGGGCUUCACCUGCGGGCGAGGCCGGCGCUCCGAGGGCAGCGGGGCGGCCGGGUUUGCCGCUGGGUUCGGGGAGGCGAGGCUGACGCGGCGAGGCUGGGCUCCGCUGUGGCACCGCGCUUCCCACCGCGGCUGAAGCUUGCCGCCCGGGGCGCGGAAGGGGUCGGGCCGUACCCGGGAGCGUUGCGUUCCUCCUGGGGAACGAGGGACAGGCGUCCGGACCCCUCUGCCGCUGCAGCGGGUCUCUCUCGGUUUCCCUCUGCCCGCAGUGGGACAUGCGUGUGACAAAAAGGCCGCCGGGAAACUCGGCAAAGGAACGAAAGAUUUCGUCAGGUAAACGGUGUCUGGAGCUGCUGACGGUGUUUCUCAUCUCGUCCCCACCACGGUCGGAGGAUUUUCAAUGCGAACAAACAGAGCGACGCCGAAGACGCGAGUGGAGCGCUUUCGAUCAAAAAGCUAGGUGGUGUCCUGCCGAGAGAAGAUUCAAUGCUAGCGAUGACGGCACGGUGCCCUCAGCCCACGGAGCCCCUACUCCCGGCAGCGGUUUCCGUGAGAGGUGCUGCAAGUAAUGGAAAGAAGAAUCCCAUUCCUUCUUACUUGAUAGCUUUCGGUGGUUAGGCAGAGCAGAGGUGCAAAAGUCCUCUAACGCUUGUUGGCACAGCCGCGUUUGCCAUCCCCUGGACACGAGUAAGACAAGACCUCGAUGGGGUUCAGAAUGCGCUGUGGCUUCAUCCCAAGGCAACCUGCCUCUCAUCAUGGAGAGCGUCCCUCCUGCCUUUGCCAGCUGGAAGCCCGUUGAGCCUUCGUCGGCCAACAGCCUUUGAAAUAAUUAAACAACUCUGCCUCCAAAGCAUUUUUCUCUGAGCCAAAUUAUAGGCAUUAGGAUAGCAGCAACGUUGUCUUUGCCAGCCAGGACUAAAAUUAGGUUGCAUGAUUUAUUUUACAACUUGUUUGGGUGCUGACAAAUAGCACCAGAUCUGUACGCAGAUUCCCUGAGCUGCGCUUCUGUGGGGGAGAAAAGCUGGAGGAGAGAACGGCAGGAGGGUAGAAGUGUGUCACCUUUACUUCAUCGCUGCUGUGCUGUUUUUACCGUGCCGAUGCCGCCCUGCUAGGAGGAGGAAGGACGUUCUGUGAAUUCUGUAGCUAUGAAAUUUCUUUUUAAAUAAAAACUUCUUUAAAGUUCUCUUCCGCUAAA